rnacentral:misc_RNA from 1 species
CAGUUGGUUAGAGCGCGCGCUUGAUAAGCGUGAGGUCGGAAGUUCAAGUCUUCCCAGGCCCACCAUUUUGAUCGAGUGCGGAGCAUUCGUCUUCUGGUACGGGGCCAUAGCUCAGCUGGGAGAGCGCGUGCUUUGCAAGCAUGAGGUCGUCGGUUCGAUCCCGUCUGGCUCCACCAGAUGGUUUGAUCACCAACGGCGUUACCGUCGUCCGCGAAACAUCACUUCGCACUCAUUGGUCCGGAUGGACGGUGACGUGCGUGUUUUCUGACAUCGUAAAGAGGAGAUCGAUCCGAGUUUGGAUCAAGCGAAGCAAUUCGCCUGAACCAUUCAUUAUCUCCGGGAUCAUUUCGGCGCUCGCGCAUCGCAGUUCAUCGCAAGAUGAGUGGGGUGAGCGGGUUGUAAAUGAUCUCUUUUAGCGAAGCUUGACCGCCUCGCUAUCGGGCCGAUCUUACGAAGCAAGCUGGUCUUUCUAGUCAAUGUCCGGCUGCGCAAUCGCAUUCAUCGAGGAUGCGUGCCUGGGACUUCGGUCUUCGGGCAGUUGCGCAGACAACAUUCUGCCGAGUGUGUGGACAUUGAUAAUGAGAGCAAUCAAGUGCCUUAAGGGUGUUCGGUGGAUGCCUUGGCGCUGAGAGGCGAUGAAGGACGUGCUACGCUGCGAUAAGCCG